rnacentral:rRNA from 1 species
UACGUAGGGACCAAGCGUUGUUCGGAUUUACUGGGCGUAAAGGGCGCGUAGGCGGCAAUUCAAGUCAGCUGUGAAAUCUCCGGGCUUAACUCGGAACGGUCAGCUGAUACUGCUUUGCUAGAGUGCAGAAGGGGCAAUCGGAAUUCUUGGUGUAGCGGUGAAAUGCGUAGAUAUCAAGAGGAACACCUGAGGCGAAGGCGGGUUGCUAGGCUGACACUGACGCUGAAGCGCGAAAGCUAGGGUAGCAAACGGG